CACUGCUAUCAGAAUGCGACUAAGACAUGCAAGUCUAAAGAAACGGCUUCGUUUCUUGGCGGACGGCUGAAUAACACGUAGAGAACAUACUCUUAGGAGGGGUGCAACGUCGCGAAAGUGACGUGAAUGCCACAUAGGAAAACGUAACUGGAAUGUUUGUUUUCUCAAAAGGGCGCCAAAUUGUAGGCGUACCGCCUAAGAAUUGCUCUGCGGCUGAUUAGCUAGUCGGCGAGGUAACGGCUCACCAAGGCGAUAAUCAGUAGGGGCUAUGGGAGUAGGAGCCCCCAGACGGGCACUGAGACAAGGGCCCGAGUCCUACGGGAUGCAGCAGUCGCGCAACCUUCGCAAUGCGCGAAAGCGUGACGAGGGUAUUCUGAGUGCAAACCUUACGGUUUGCUUUUAGUCAGCUUGAAAAGCUGGCUGAAUAAGGGGUGGGUAAAUCCUGUGCCAGCCGCCGCGGUAACACAGGUAGCCCGAGUGGUGCCCACGAAUAUUGGGUUUAAAACGCGUGUAGCCGGAUUAGCAAGUUCCCCGUGAAAUCCACCGACUUAAUCGGUGGGCGUGCGGGGAAUACUACUAGUCUUGGGAAUGGGGGAGGCCAAGGGUACUGUAGGGGUAGGAGUAAAAUCCUUUAAUCCUUGCAGGACCAUCGGUGGCGAAGGCGCUUGGCCAAAACAUGUCCGACGGUGAGACGCGAAGGCUAGGGGAGCAAAUCGGAUUAGAUACCCGAGUAGUCCUAGCAGUAAAUGAUGCAGACUAGGCGUUGCAAUCACCGCGAGUGAUUGCAGUGCCGCAGCGAAAGCGUUAAGUCUGCUACCUGGGGAGUACGGUCGCAAGACUGAAACUUAAAGGAAUUGGCGGGGGAGCACCACAAGGGGUGGAUGCUGCGGUUCAAUUGGACUCAACGCCGGGAAACUCACCUAGAGAGACGGCAGUAUGAAGCUCAGACUAAAGAUCUUAGCUAACAAGCCGAGAAGUGUUGCAUGGCCAGCGUCAGCUCGUGCCGUGAGGUGUCAAGUUAAGUCUUGCAACGAGCGAGAUCACUGUCCACCGUUGCCACACUCGAAGCAAUUCGGGAGGCACUCAGUGGAGACUGCCAGCGCUAAGUUGGAGGAAGGAAGUGGCGACGCUAGGUCCGUAUGGCCUGAAUCUCUAGGGCCACACGUGGCAUACAAUGGCGGAGACAAUGCGUUCCGACGCCGAGAGGUGAAGGUAAUCGCCUAAACUCCGCCCCAGUACAGAUCGAGGGCUGGAACUCGUCCUCGUGAAGUUGGAAUCCCUAGUAAUCGCGUGUCAUCAUCGCGCGGUGAAUAUGUCCCCGCUCCUUGCACACACCGCCCGUCAAGUCAUCCGAGCGGGGUUUUAGUGAGGC
rnacentral:rRNA from 1 species